rnacentral:lncRNA from 1 species
AACCCUAGUACACGGAACUGCAACAGGAAUACUUUGAAUCCUUCGGCUUCACUGCUUCCAGUAACUGGACACGCAUAACUAGGAGGCUGUGAGGGGUCAACCACGCCUUGAUUCCAGUCUCAGCCCAGUGAAGGUUAACUCUGUGACCUGGCGUCAAGUUAUUUCCACUUCUUUCAGGAAAAUGAUUGGUACCUUCAGUAUUCUGACUAUUGUUGGUUAACACCUUAUUUCCUCCAACUGUGUUCACCACAGUAAACUCAUAUGGGAAUAUUUAGGGAUAUUGUGAAUAUUCGAGGGAAUUGCAGCAAUCCUCGACGUUUGUCAGACAUCUUAUGAACUUCUAGCUCGAGGUAGUUCACUGUUUGCACAGGACAUCGAGCUCCGUUCCUUUUGAUGACCUCAUAUCUUUGUGAAGCUGAGUUUUGGGAGACUUCUGAGAUUAAAAAGCGAGUAUCAAGGGCCAGCCUGGUGGUGUAGCAGUUACGCUUGCACACUCCAAUUCGGCAGCCAGGGUUCUCUGGUUCGGAUCCCAGGCAUGGACCUAUGCACUGCUUAUCAAGCCAUGCUGUGGCAGGCGUCCCAAAAUAGAGGAAGAUGGGCACGGAUAUUAGCACAGGGCUAAUCUUCCUCAAAAAAAAAAUUAAAAAAGCAAGUAUCAGGACCAGCAUGGUGGCAUAGUAGUUAAGUUUGUGGACUCCACUUUGGUGGCCUGGAGUUCCUAGGUUCGGGUUCUUGGCGCAAACCUAGCACUGCUUGUCAAGCCACACUGUGGUGGCAUCCCACAUAAAAUAGAGGAAGACUGGCACAGAUGUUAGCUCAGCAACAAUCUUCCUCAAGCAAAAAGAGGAAGAUUGGCAACAAAUGUUAGCUCAGGGCCAAUCUUCCUCACACACACACACACAGACACACACACACACACAAAAGCAAGUAUCAUGAGAAAACCAAUGGAGAACCAAAAGUGAUGUGUGGAUGUCCAGUCUGACUCUGAGAUUUGAGAAGCUGUGCAGCGUCCAACAAACAUGCACAUCUUAUUGGGUCCUGGGCAGAGUCUCACCUGCUAAGCUUCCCCAUCUCUUGGCCAAGGGACCCCUGGACACUGUGGGACAUCAGCACCAUCCACCAGUUAGGAGCUCAGACUUGAAGCCUGGCUUUCUCCCCCUCUGCUGGCUAAAUUUAUAAUCCGACCUCCCAGAUAUUCCUGGUGCAGCCACUCCCUGGACCACACUUUGAGAACUCUGGGCUACAUACGACUGUGGCUGGUGGCCGUGGGGUAGAAAAGCAGGUAACUGGAGAUGAAGAGAUCAAGGAACCAAGAGGCCUGGAUGUGCGGUGACUCAUUCAGAUGGCUGCUGAGGUCACUCAGGAUGGACACCAGACAAGACAGAGAAAAGGACCAUGAGCCAGAAGGCAAAGUCAUCAGUGAAUGGGAGAGGCACAGCGAGGGACAAAGGACAAAAGGCUCUUCAUGACGGAGAGGAGCUAGGGUGAAGGGAGGGAUUUAACCUGACGGCAAGAGUCUUAUAGGAGCAGGAGUAUUUCAAAAAUACUGGAAAGUAAAGGUCUGGCAUUGGCUUUGAAAAGCAAUUUAGGUACUAAGAGAAUAUGUAAGGGAAUAUUCAUAAUGAGAGAAUAAGAAGCUUCCGUUUAAGAAAGCUGCUGGAAAAGCCGUGUUCUCAGGGGAGAAAUUAAUCUUGAUUAAAGAGUAAGAUACAUCCUGUAAAGAAAUCCAGGAUGUGGGAGAGUUAUUAGAUCAUGGAGAAAGUUCCAGAGGACACGGUGAAAAGAAGUGAGGAAUGAGAACCUAGAGAAGAGAACAGGGAGCACAGAGCAUUCUGAGACUGAGAAUUUGGAAGAAUGAAGUUGGCCAGAGGGGUUGACGUUGUGGGCAAAGAUGGAGGAAACAGGACGUGAGGCACAGGAUAACGUAAUCCUGACAAACUCCAGCGAAGAGCGACUUUCUUCCCCACUAGCUGGGCUCUCCCCCUUGUGCUGGCAGACGGCCUGGUACAGCUCCAGAACAAUUGACUUCCAGGCUCCAAGCCCUUGGAAAAGAAAAUCUACUUUCUCAAUAACUCAAACAAAAUUCCCAAAGUUGGGUCUAAUCUAGUCUAAUCUAAUUGGCCUGACUUGGUCCCAGGCCCCUCUCUGAAUCAAUCAGGAUUGCCUAUGUAAGCCGAGGGACUGGUUAGAUAGGUUUAGAUUCCAAGGAGGCAGGAGGGACGGCUCCUCAAAGGGAAAUCAGCAGCUGAUUACCAGAAGAAGGAAGAAGGGAUGCGAGCAGUGAGAACAAUAGUCAGUCAUUAUGGGGAUUAGGAACUGCCGUCUGAGGAGGUUUGGCUGCAGAGGCGAAAAGAGAGACCUACAGUGAGAGUGGGGUUGAGAGAGAGUUUUAAGAGAAACAAACAGGUGAAACAGAAGCUGAAGAUGCCAGAAGGAGAAGAAAGGGGAUGAAACACGCCACUGAGGAGUUGCCUGGAUCAAGAGAACAGCUGAAGCAUUAGCUUUGAGCUGCAGGAGGAGGGUUACCUCCUCCUCUGAGACCGGGCAGAAGGUUGGGGACAGAUAUAAAUACGUUUUUCGAUGCAGGAACAGCACGUUUAGGAAUUCACACCUCAUGACCUCUGUUUUAUCUGUGACUUAGGAAGGUCAUGUGCCAAGGCUGAGAAGGAAAGUUCACUGAGGAAGGAGCACCAUGGUUUCUGUGGGAGCGUGGGACACUUUGGAUGUGCAGACAAAUUGAUGGAUGACAACGUUACGUUUUAAAAGAACAUAAUUCCCGAUUUAACUUUUUAAUAUUAAUGCCAUUAGGAAUUUCAACGAAAACAACAGAACGUGGACAUCAGCUCAUACAGUGGAAACGUGAUAAAAUUAUAUUCAAGUGUGGACAUAAAUUUAUUCGCUUCUUGGCUAACAUGGGGAUCAUUUUAGUGAGAAAUCUUUCUUGGGAAAAUUGAUUAAUAAAUUCAUUUGGAGGUUCUGAGACCUGUGGUGGCCUCCAUGGGGGCAGAGCUGAUCGACAGAAGACAAAGAGAGCAGUGUUUUCUUUGUUUCUUGAAGAAUGAGGAAGAAAAUGAGAGAAAAAGAAAGAAUGCUACGAAGACAGCUAAGUAAGGGAAGACUGCAUUCCUUCUGAGGUGAUCUUCAAAUCUUUAGUGAAAUUGCUAAACUGUAGAAACGAUCAGUGAAAGUAGUUUUUGUUUUAAUGGAUGUUAAGCGAAGGGCUGUGUUUCCAAGCUGGGUUGAUCCAAGCAGAAUCAAGGCAGUGCUGUGAACGAGCGAGCAUGGAAGCUGGAGACGUGGGGAUGGCACCCCUCGCAGUGGUACGAAAGGUUCCAGAAUUGCUCUGCAGGCUAUCUUCACCUUUUCUUGGAGGCCAUACUCACCGGUGAACGUACGCACUUUUCUGGUCAUCCUCUUACCUUUAUUAAAAUAAUAGCAGAAAAGAGAAGUCAUAUGGGUAAAAUAAAGUGUAAAACAGAUUUUAUUUACCACGACCCAUAACCAUUUAGGUCAUAGAAAUUAUGACUGGGACUCGAGUAUAUUGGCAAAACGUCUCCAUAAUGUUCAGCUCUUUGUUUUUUCAUUCGAACUUACCUGGCUUUUUCUUCCAGGCAUUGGGUGUAUACUGUGCACCUAGAGAACCAUGGCUGUAAUUGUCCAACAUCAAUCUCCUGUAUCAGACACCCCUUCUCAGAUGUGCAUGGCUUUGAGAUUACAAACUGCAAAAUAGUGAAUAUUUUGGUGUAAGGUGGAUAGAUUAUGAUUAUCAUCCCAUGAACACUUUUGUUCUUUUGAGAAAAAAUAAUGGUAUUCUACUAGUGCCAGUCUCAGCUUUGGACUUUGGGAGGUAAGGGAGCAUUAUCUACAUUCACGACAGUGUUAUUCAUCCUCCUCAUAACCCAUGAGGAAGCAGGGAAGGAUGAUAGUCUUAUUCUUACAGCUCCUGAAGUAGAAGAAGUGACGUGACCAGGGUCACGUAUCCAGUAAUUCAGAGCAUCUCAACCCAUGUAUGCUGCAAACCAGAGUAUGCUGAGAAAUACUGAUAACCACAGCCCUCAGUCAACAGGAAAUACUCCCUACAACUCCGCCCCCACUCCACGCACGCAGGCACGCACACACGCAGGGAGCAGCUUCCGCUAUGGACCACAUUACCAUUUUUUGUGUGUGCUAUGACGGAAAAAUGCGGUAAAGGGAGAUGAGUAACGGAGUCCAACUGUGAAACCAGUUCCGUUUCAUCCCGCUGCCUCUUCGUGAAGACCAUGGGACUCUUUUAUCAAUUCAUUUAUCAUGAAAGGAGUAAAGCUUGCCUAUGUGUUUUCUUAAUUCAAUGCCUUCAAUAUUUCUUUAGCUAUUUAGCUCUCCAGUGUGCUAGUCACUUUCUGGUCCAAGUUGAUAUUUCAUCAAAUCUGGAUGGUUACAAAGAAUCAGUGGGCACUGGUGGAAAAAUACUAGUGAAGCUUUCCCAGUCCAUUAGCAUCUGUCUAGUCAAAAAAGAUGCCCACUCAUGAUGCCUGACCUGAGCACCAAAAAUUACAAUUCACCUGUGGUAGAUGGUUGCUAUAGACUGAAUGUUUGUGUUCCCCCAAAAUUCAUACAUUGAAAAUCUAAUGCCCAAUGUAAUGGUAGGAGUUGGGGCCUUUGGGAGAUGAUGAGGUCCUGGG